CUUUCCAACAACAUAUGAGGAAGGCUUCCAAAGAUAUCUACAUUGAAGUUUCUCCUGGCACCUAUUCUAUCACGGCAACCUCAGAGGACAUGGUGAAACAGACCCACGUGGUAGAUGUCAGUGCAGGACAGAGUGUUGAUUUAACUUUUGUUCUAUGAUGUUUGUUGUUUCUCGGUAAUCAUGGGAAUAAAAUUCCAGGCUUUUAAGGCAUAUAGUGAACUAUACAUAUCUUUUCCUCUUUUAGCACUUUAACAGUAUUCUGUACUUUGGGUCUGCAUUUUUAUACUCAUAUACACUUGUUUUAUACUUAAUGCAAAUAUAUAUAUUAUAUACAGCCCACUUUGUACACUUUGUACAUUGAUUUUUAUAAAUACUUGUACAUCGUGUGCCUUAUUUCCAAUUAUGUGACUGUGUGAUUCCAAUUAAAGAUGCAAUCACUGGACUAAAACA